rnacentral:rRNA from 1 species
GUGUAUGGCCAUACUACCCUGAACACGUCUGAUCUUGGAAGCUAAGUGGGGCUGGGUCUAGUUAGUACUUGGAUAGGAGAAAGAGAGAAAGAUGUGGAGAGAAAUAGACA